rnacentral:lncRNA from 1 species
GGAGGCUGGAAGUAGCUCUUGUACUGGUUGGUCUGGAAAUCACAGAGAUGCGCCUGCCUCUGCCUCCUAAGUGCUAGGACUAAAGGCGUGCACCACCACCGCCUGGCUCUGAGUUCCAUUUUCACCUGCUGGAGUCCCCAUGGGAUUGUUCUGAAGUAUAGAGUAUACAGGGAGAAACCUAAGAUCCGCAGUGAGGAGGAGAAUUAAGAAGAUGGAGUUCACAUUCAGAGCUCAGGCUGGAGAAAUCUUCUCAAUGCUGGCAAGUAACCAAGCAUACCUGUAAAGCCCAAACAACCUUUGAGGCACCAGCUUUUCGCUUGUGCAUGACUGAACCAUCAUUUCUUUAUCUGUCUCCUGUUCUUGGGCCUUGAUGUUAUUUUCGAUUGUUGACUGUUGCAAACAAUGUUGUGGUGAAAAUUCUGGAACCGACAGCUGACACACCUUCUGUACCUGUGAAAGUUUGCUCGGGACUGGACAGAUGACCCCAUGCUCACUACUGCUCUUGCAGAGGACCUGAGUUCUGUUCCUAGCACCUACAUCAGGCUCUUCACCAUCCGACACACUCGGCUUGCCCUCUAGAUUACCCACACAUCAUGAUUACAUAAAUAAUAAAAGAAAUCUUCUCAGAAAAAGAAAGAAGCUUUGCUCAGAACAGC